rnacentral:rRNA from 1 species
GAUGAACGCUAGCGGCAGGCCUAAUACAUGCAAGUCGAACGGUAAGGCCCUUUCGGGGGUACACGAGUGGCGGACGGGUGCGUAACGCGUAUGCAACAUGCCUUCCAGCGGGGGAUAUACCAGGGAAACUUGGCGCAAUACCCCAUAGAAUUACGGGACCGCAUGGUCUUGUGAUUAAAACUCCGGUGCUGGGAGAUUGGCAUGCGUGACAUUAGCUAGUUGGCGGGGUAACGGCCCACCAAGGCGACGAUGUCUAGCUGGUCUGAGAGGAUGAUCAGCCACACUGGGACUGAGACACGGCCCAGACUCCUACGGGAGGCAGCAGUAGGGAAUAUUGGACAAUGGGCGCAAGCCUGAUCCAGCCAUGCCGCGUGCGGGACGAAGGCCUUCGG